rnacentral:rRNA from 1 species
GAUUAUGGCUCAGAUUGAACGCUGGCGGCGUGCUUAACACAUGCAAGUCGCGCGUGAAAGGACUUCGGUCCGAGUAAAGCGGCGCACGGGUGAGUAACGCGUGGAUGAUCUACCCAUGAGUUAGGAAUAACGGCUGGAAACGGUCGCUAAUACCAAAUACGCUCCGAUUUCAACUUCGGGGGAAAGGUGGCCUCUGCUUGCAAGCUACUGCUCAUGGAUGAGUCCGCGUCCCAUUAGCUAGUUGGUGGGGUAACGGCCCACCAAGGCGACGAUGGGUAGCCGGUCUGAGAGGAUGACCGGCCACACUGGGACUGGAACACGGCCCAGACUCCUACGGGAGGCAGCAGUGGGGAAUAUUGCGCAAUGGGCGAAAGCCUGACGCAGCGACGCCGCGUGAGGGGAAUGAAGGUCCUCGGAUCGUAAACCUCUGUCAGGAGGGAAGAACCGCCACGGUGCUAAUCAGCCGUGGUCUGACGGUACCUCCAAAGGAAGCACCGGCUAACUCCGUGCCAGCCGCGGC